AAUCCGACGGAGCCACGUUCACCUUUUGGGUUUACCUCCGCCAAGGAGGCCUCCUCCUCUCGUCCGUUAAUUAGCAUACAACAACAAUGACUUCGAUUUCAGGUAAGAGGUAUCAUUGCGUUGCAUGAAGGGACCCCUCGGCCCCCCCACCCCACUGGCAUACUUUUUUUUACAUCAUUAUUUACAGCGGCCUCCCACUCUACACCCCAAGAAAGUGACCCAAACUCCUGACAGUGAUGUCAUCAACUAUCAACCACAUGGCCCUUCUCUAUUUGGAAAAUGAGCAUUAUUUUGCAUCUAAUAUAUAUAAAGAAGCAACAGACUGGUCGCCGUUCAGUAUCAGGUCACACAGAACAACAGAAUGGUCGCCAGUCAAUGGUGGGGCACAUAUAGACAAACAGAAGGGUUUUUUUUUCCUUCAUCCUGUGGCUGAGUUUAACGCGCUCGCCUAAUCGCAACACCCUAGAGCGGUGUUUUUCAAAAAAAUGUGCUUUGCGAUCUUACCCAGAACAUACACAUAAGUUUGCCGGUUUUGGCAAAGUCAUGUAUGUAUCCUGGUUAAAGAAAAAAAUUAAAAUCGGGCGGAACCAAGGCACCUCCACCCCCACCCCUGCACCAUCCAGUCACGUCCCUUGGAAAGUUAGAAAAACCAAAAUUAGUCCCUACCCAUAUCUGAAACUGAACAGGACAUCGGCCAUUUUGGUAUGAAGCAGCCGUCAUAAAUUCAAGUCAAUAGCAAGCAGGCAUCUGCAACAGUUUGAGGAUUCAUCAUGAGGAUGAAAAAAAGGAAUGCGGCACUGCUCCUUAUUUACUACAUGUGUCGACAUGGUAUUUCAACGAAUCUAGACCACAUAUUUUCUCAUAUUUUCCUUUUGGUCAUCAUUUUGUGUUUUUGUCGACGCUGCACUGGAUUUGGCGGCUUCAUGGUCAGCACGCAGUGGGAUGGCUGACUCAGCCGCGACCCACAAGCGCCUCUCUGGCUCCCCCUGCUGGUUGUCACACGGAAGGAACUCAGCGCGCGAGCGACCACGAAGCACGUGAGGAA